rnacentral:rRNA from 1 species
ACCUACGGACGCAGCAGUGGGGAAUAUUGCACAAUGGGGGAAACCCUGAUGCAGCAACGCCGCGUGAGUGAAGAAGUCAUUCGUGAUGUAAAGCUCUAUCAGCAGGGAAGAAAAUGACGGUACCUGAGUAAGAAGCCCCGGCUAACUACGUGCCAGCAGCCGCGGUAAUACGUAGGGGGCAAGCGUUAUCCGGAUUUACUGGGCGUAAAGCGCUCGUAGGCGGUAUGUCAAGUCAAGGGUGAAAUCCCCGCGCUCAACGUGGGAACUGCCUUUGAAACUGGCAAACUGGAGUGUGUGAGAGGAUA